rnacentral:rRNA from 1 species
CUUAAGCCCCUGUUGCUUAGCGUUGGGAGCCUACAGCCUGCUGUAGCUCCUUAAAGGUAGUGGCGGAGUCGGUUCACACUCUAGACGUAGUAAAAUCUUUAUCUCGCCUAUGGAUGAGCCGGCGCCUUGCCGUAAAACCCCUAAUCUUUCACAAGGUUGACCUCGGAUCAGGUAGGAAUACCCGCUGAACUUAAGCAUAUCAAUAAGCGGAGGAAAAGAAACCAACAGGGAUUGCCCUAGUAACGGCGAGUGAAGCGGCAACAGCUCAAAUUUGAAAUCUGGCCUUCGGGUCCGAGUUGUAAUUUGCAGAGGAUGCUUUGGGCGCGGUGCCUUCCGAGUUCCCUGGAACGGGACGCCUUAGAGGGUGAGAGCCCCGUACGGUUGGACACCAAGCCUCUGUAAAGCUCCUUCGACGAGUCGAGUAGUUUGGGAAUGCUGCUCUAAAUGGGAGGUAAAUUUCUUCUAAAGCUAAAUAUUGGCCAGAGACCGAUAGCGCACAAGUAGAGUGAUCGAAAGAUGAAAAGCACUUUGAAAAGAGGGUUAAAUAGCACGUGAAAUUGUUGAAAGGGAAGCGUUUGCGACCAGACCUUUUCCCAGCGGAUCAUCCGGUGUUCUCACCGGUGCACUUCGCUGGGUUGAGGCCAGCAUCGGUUUCCGCAGGGGGAUAAAAGCCUGGGGAAUGUAGCUCCCUCGGGAGUGUUAUAGCCCCUCGCAUAAUACCCUUGCGGGGACCGAGGACCGCGCU